AAGCGGGAUAGAGAAGAGAAAAAUAAGAACAAAGAUAUUUUGAUCCACAGGGAAAAGACCCUGGAGAAUGCAUUACUCCCAGAAGAUGGUUCCUUUUUUAGGCCAGAGGAAUUUCAUCUGGGAUAUCACAUUACAUGGUUCUCGUUGCAUCACCGUAAGCUCCUCUUGGAUGUGACAGCUUUGGGAGAUGGGUAACAGAUCAUCUUCAACAUGAACUCCCCUGGAGUGUAUUUUGAAGUUCUGGGACUUCUUCGACCUUGAAACUUUGAAAAAAAAAAUAGCUUAUUUUCUUUUGCACAAGGGUAUGGCCUUUUUACUAGAUCUUUGCAAGUGUUGCAAAAUCAACCCAGCCCUUUCAGCAGCCAUAUGGGGCAGGCCCAGGGAAAAUAGUUUCCCCAAAUGAAAAAAGUAACUUUCAGGGAAAUCAUCUGAGGAUUCCCUUAUUUGGGGCCCCUUCAAGUCCCCUUCUCAUUGCAGGGUCUUAGGCAAGUAAAGGGAGACUUGGGCCAAUUUUCUGACGACCCUGAUAGGUAUAUAGAAGCUUUUCAAAAUUUAACUCAGGUAUUUGACCUCUCAUGGAGGAAUGUUACGGUGUUCCUCAGCCAAACCCUAACUGCAGCUAAAACAGGCAGCAGUGCAAGCAGAAGAAAAUUUUGGAGAUGAGCAAUAUGUCUCCUAUAGUAGGCCAAAAGGGAAAAGAGAAAAUGGGAAAGGCAAAGAAAUAGGAAAAACACCAUUCCCAAUAGGAAAAAAAGGCAAUAUCUUUUGACAACCCUAAUUGGAACCCCUUUCUAUGGUGUUUUACCUUUUUUGGUGGUUUAAAAUGACUUAUAUCUCUUUUAUAAUGUUCUUCCAAUCUGGAAAAAGUUCCCAACCUUAAAAUGCUUGAUUUAGAUUUAAGCUAGGGGGAAGGGAACCCAGAAGCCUGAUAUGCCAGCAAAGUGGUAAAAAUUUCUUACAAAUGGGGCUUUUGGCUUCUCUCCCCCUGUGCAAACCAGUACAAGGGAUAAUAAGGAUAAUCAUUUAUAUUCUCUGUAAAUGUAUAAUUAAUGAAAAAGGAUUUGUGAAGUUGGUCUUAAGCUGUAGACAGUCUGGUGUGCCUUGCAUGUCUUUCUGUAUGGUUCUGUCAAAUAAAGGGUAUCUUAGGUUAGGAUGGAGGCCCAGGACCCCAUAAGUCUGCUGUUCAAGCCAGCCCAACAAAAUAGUAACAAACUUGGCUACAGGCCUCCAUCUUGUUUCAUGUCCUUGGGAACAUGACCUGUAACCGUGUGGCAAUACUUUGUUUUAGCCUCCACCAUUUUACAAUGGUGGCUGUCUUUUUCUGCUAAGUCAGUUCCUGGGUGAGGGCCACAAAAUCAGAUAAGCCAGUUUAUCAGUCUGGGUGGUGCCAGGUAAUCCAUCAAGAGCAGGGUUUACAAAAUAUCUUAUGCACUGAUUUUAAAAGCAAUUUAGGGAAGGUCAAAAAUCUUGCAGCCUUCAGCUGCAUAGCUCCUGGGCCAUAGUUUCUAAUUUUAUGGCUAGUUUCUUGGGCUGGUCCCCAGACAAGAGGGAAGUGUAUCUUAAGAAGAGGUUGUUAACAUCUUUGUUUUAGACUAUAAACUGUAAAACCGGUUCCUCCCAAAGUUGGUUCCACCUAUGCCCAGGGAUGGACAAGGAAAGCUUGGGAGCUAGAAACAAAAUGGAGUUGUUUGGGUCAGAUCUCUUUCACUGUCUCAGUCACAAUUUUGCAAUUACUGUUUUGAAAGCUUCCUAUCACUCCUUUAAAAAUACCUUGUAUGCCUGUGGUUAAGUCACAAUCUAAUUAAAGCUUGUCAGUUUCAC
rnacentral:lncRNA from 10 species